ensembl:lncRNA GALNT7-DT GALNT7 divergent transcript
GCUUCCCACCACCAGCAAACUGCGUGGUGAAUUUGUAACCGAAAGGCCCAGGUGAGAUGUGCAAAUAUCACUGGAUUGGAGGAGCUCACUUGGAAAGCCAGUAUUCCUCCUGAGCUAAUGAAAAGAAAGGCUGUCGUCUUAUGCCAAAAGCAAUACCAACCUUGUUCACGGGCUGAGAUCUAGAGUGUGUAAUUCACGAAGUAUGAAUCUGCUGGGUAAUGUGAUAUGAAAAGCGAAUGCACCAUUUCUUGGUGAUGAUUCAGGUCAGCGUUGGGACCCAGGAAUCUCCUGUUAAUCAGUACCCUGGUGAUUUUGAUCCAGAGACGGGGUCUAUUAUCUGGUCCUGUUGUCAAGGCUGGUCUCAAACUCCUGGCCUCCAGCGAUCCUCCCUUUUUGGCCUCCCAAGAUGCUGGUAUUACAGGCAUGAGCCACCAUGGUCCACCCGGACUCCUUUUCAUAGGAGACAGUUCCCUAGGCAGAGACUGGGCUUGAAACAGGUCAUCAAGACCAUGGCUUCCAUCGUAGGCAGUCACACUCUUUCUCUCUUGGAUCAUUUGCUGUGGGGAAGCAAACUGUCAUAUGAGAGGACACUCAAACAGCCUCUGGAGUCUCAUUUGCUAAGGAACUGAGGACUCCAGCCUGAGAACUCAGGCAAGUAACUGAGGCCUGCCAACAACCAUGGAGAAAGCCUGGAAGUGGAUCCUCCCUCAGCCUUCAGUCGAGACAACAGCUGCAAUGACAGCCAAGCCAGCGCCACCCAGCUUAGCCACCCCCAGAGAACUAACUCUCAGAAACCAUGUAAGAUAAUACAUGUUUGUUGUUUUAAGCUGCUAAGUUUUGGGGUAAUUUAUUAUACAAUAGAUAAUUAAAACACAUAGCAUAUAAAUAAAAUCAAUAAAACCAGUAUGGGUCAGUAAUGAGUAAAUUAGAUAAUUAGACAAAUUUUGACAUUUCUGUUUCUAUGUUAAUUAUUUUUCUUCAGAAAAAUUCUCUACGGGUAAAAUAUGUUAAGAGUGGUUACCAACGGACAUUUUAAAAUUAAUAAUCAGUUUGGGAGGCCAAGGCGGUUGGAUUGCUUUAACUCAGGAGUUUGAGGCCAACCUGGGCAACAUGACAAAACCCUGUCUCUACAAAAAAUACAAAAAUUAGCCAGGCAUGGUCGUGUGUGCCUGUAGUCCCAGCUACUUGGGAAGCUGAGGUGGGAGGAUCAAUUGAGCCUGGGAGGCCAGGCUGCAGUGAGUCAAAAUCAUACCAUCUCAAUCCAGCCUGAGCAACAGAGUGAGACCCUAUCUAAAAUAUAUACAUGUAUAUUAACAAUUAUCUCUUGAAACUAAAGUAUAAUCACAGUACUAGUGUACUAUUUUCCAUUUUAUUAAAUGCACUAAACAGUAUUGCAAUGUGUUUGUGUUUAUUAAAAAAUAUUUUGGAAAUCUUUGGGAGAAAAGCUACUUCAAAUUAGUCUGAAAACUAUCAUUUCCUUCUAGCAAUGUGUAAUAAUGUAAUGACUGCUUAGAAUUUCCUGAGAGGGACUGUAACAUAUAUUUUAAGCAUAAUAUUGUAAACAAACAAGUUCUUUUGCAGUACUUGAAGAUCUUUUUUUGUGACUAUCCCCCUUAUAUAUUAUGAAGAUACAUUUUUUGUGACUAUCCUCUUUAUAUGUAUUGUGAAGAUAAGGUUUUUUAUAGUGAAUAUCCUCCUAAUGCUACUAGUAUUGUUUGCAAUCUGUCAUUAUUCUUAGUGUAAAAUUAAACUUCAACAGAGUACCUGUGUGAACUCUUAACAAUUUUUGAAUUAGUGAAGCCCCAAAUUAAUGAUGCUUUACUAGAUAUAAGGGAACUGGAAAGGCUGAAAUCUCAAGGUAGAGUCAAGGCAGUAAUUCCUAGCAGCCUGUGUUUCUCGGUGUUCUUCAUGCUUCACAGAGGUUGGAAUUCAGCUUCUGGUUUAAGUUGUCUUAAUCUUGACCACAGUGGUAAUUUUACUUUCCCACUCUUUUUUCCUCAACUAGAAUGACUCGGAGAGUUGAGCUAACAGAGGUAGAAUAUUGAUUCGUGAGAUAGGUUCUUAGAGAUAUAAGUGUGCGCAUGGAAGAAGGAGGAAUGGCGUGGAAGAGCAGGUGGAGACGGCCACAGCAGGGCUUAGAAAUUCCCUCUAUCCAAAGCCUGGUUGUGAGGAAUUUGAUAGAAAGGAUUGUGUGGGCUAAGACAUCAGUUUUUAUGGUAAUAUUUGAGGGAGAAAAUUGAGAUCUUGGAAUGCAUUUGAAAAAAAGAUUAGUUUUAAUACAAUUAUCACUUUACCUGAGACCACAUCUCAAAAUCAAAAUCAGUGAUAAUGUCUUUGCAUUAAUGUUGGAAAGACUUAUGCUACUUCUGCAUAAUUUUCUGGUAAAUUAUGUAAUGAGUGGUCAGUAUAAUAGCAUGGUUAUUGUGAAGGGUAAGAUAGUAUGUCAUUUUUUUCCCUCUUAACAUGUAAAGGCUAUUUUCCAUAUUAUACAUACAUUAAUAUUUAUAUGUGAAUGAACAAAUAGAAAUAUCAUCAAGUAAAACUGAAGGAGUUGAUUUGGGUUAUUUCUUGUGUGAAACGGAUGAAAAGAAAAAUAUUAGAAAAUUUGAUUACGUUA